UACAGAGCACCUCUGCAAUGAUCAGUGUCCCCUGGCCUCUCUGGCUAAACGAUGGACUCUGGCUAAAUGAUGGACCCUCUGAGAGCCUUUGCAUCCCAAAUGGCACCUAUUUCCUACAGAAUGCACUACUUUUUACCAGGGCCCAUAGGAAAUAGAGUGCCAUUUGGAACUCAGAUUAAGACCUCGGUCCCCGACCAGCCAACCAACCCCCUGGAUAGUGGCUGUAUUAGUUUAUCCACCUUAUGAGCCUGGGCUCGGGGUCGGCAUUAAUUGGAUACUCAGGCUGUGGCCCAAAAGAAGACCAGGAGGAAAACAACCAGGCCUCUCCUCCUCUCAUCCCUUCUUUCCCUGGGACUUCAUUAAGACGAGGGUGAAGGGACAUCCUGGGGGAAAAGAAGGGACUCAGGCUUCAUGUAGAACACACACACACACUACGAUUGAACAUAUGCACACGCACACAAACAUAUACAUAUACAGUACAAACACUGACGUACUGCUGUGCAUGGACACGCACUGUACACACACACUACGCACACACACACACACACACACACACACACACACACACACACACACACACACACACACACACACUUCCACACAUAAACAGUGUGACCCAGUUGCACAGCCUGAGCAAACCUGUGGAGAGAGGAAGGAGAGAUGUUAAUUACACACAGAGGGUAUGUAUUCCUCUUCCUCAGUUCAGACCCCAGAAAUAUUAGAAAUUCAUUAACAGAAUCAAUAUGAAUUUUAAAUGAUAUGAUAUUCCUUACCGUACCGCGUAGUGUGUGUGUGUGUGUGUGCGUGCGUGCGUGCGUGCGUGCUCUGGUGGUAAAGGCGUGUUGUAUUUGCCCUAUGCGGAUGGAACUGCAGCCUUGUGUCUGUCUGUUUCUUUAGAGGAAUGUGUGUGUGUAGGCACAUGUUUAUGUUCGGUACUUUACUUAUAAAUUCAUCAUUGGCGAGGCUUUGCUUGUGAUUAAUUGUGACUUGUGUGUCUUUCCGUUUUAGUGCCAGUCUGACACGGACACUGCCGCCAUACAGGCGCCAAGCCUUGUAAUGAAGUUGAUUUGUUAAUGUUGCUGCCACACAGGAUGAAAGCCUGUCUAAUCAGGCCGCCCUGCCCACCCCACCAGUCACAUACUAUCUUCUCAGACGGGCAGCCUUAGUGGGACUGAUUGCAGUGUGUUACACCAUACAGUAGUUGUUGUGUACCUACUGAGUCAUCAAGUUCCCUGACGUCACGACAGGCCUGAUUACCAACAACGACGAGACGGCCUACAGGGAGGAGGUAGGCAUUCUGACAGUGUGGUGCCAGGUAAACAACCUCUCCCUCAACGCCAGUAAAACAAAGGAGCUGAUUGUGGACUUCAGGAAGGACCAAGCUGGGUACGCUCCAUCCUAAUCAAUGGGGCCACCGUGGAGACGGUCAAAAACACAUCUCCAAGUAGCUGAAAUGGUCAAACCACACAUACCCUGUGGUGAAGAAGGCAGGCCUGUCCCCCGAGGGCCCUCACAGUGUUCUACAGGAGCACCAUCGAGAGCAUACUGUCGGGCUGCCCCCCGAUUUUAUAUGUAUCAUUGUCAUAGUUGUAAACAUGUAUAUGUUGUUAUUAAAUAUUUAAAGUAUUUUUUAUUAUUA